AGUGAACGCUGGCGGUAGGCCUAACACAUGCAAGUCGAACGGCAGCACAGUAAGAGCUUGCUCUUACGGGUGGCGAGUGGCGGACGGGUGAGGAAUACAUCGGAAUCUACUUUUUCGGGGGGGAUAACGGAGGGAAACUUACGCUAAUACCGCAUACGACCUACGGGUGAAAGCAGUGGAGCUUCGGACCUUGCGCGAUUGAAUGAGCCGAUGUCGGAUUAGCUAGUUGGCGGGGUAAAGGCCCACCAAGGCGACGAUCCGUAGCUGGUCUGAGAGGAUGAUCAGCCACACUGGAACUGAGACACGGUCCAGACUCCUACGGGAGGCAGCAGUGGGGAAUAUUGGACAAUGGGCGCAAGCCUGAUCCAGCAAUACCGCGUGGGUGAAGAAGGCCUUCGGGUCGUAAAGCCCUUUUGUUGGGAAAGAAAAGCAGCAGGUUAAUACCCCGCUGUUCUGACGGUACCCAAAGAAUAAGCACCGGCUAACUUCGUG
rnacentral:rRNA from 1 species